rnacentral:tRNA from 1 species
ACCUGGCUGGUGCAGUUGGUGGCAUGUGAGACUCUUGAUCUUGGGGUUAUGAGUUCGAGCCCCAUGUUGGGUG